rnacentral:rRNA from 1 species
CAGUCGCCGCGGGAAUACAGAGGGUGCGAGCGUUAAUCGGAUUUACUGGGCGUAAAGCGUGCGUAGGCGGCUUUUUAAGUCGGAUGUGAAAUCCCUGAGCUUAACUUAGGAAUUGCAUUCGAUACUGGGAAGCUAGAGUAUGGGAGAGGAUGGUAGAAUUCCAGGUGUAGCGGUUAAAUGCGUAGAGAUCUGGAGGAAUACCGAUGGCGAAGGCAGCCAUCUGGCCUAAUACUGACGCUGAGGUACUAAAGCAUGGGGAGCAAACAGGAUUAGAUACCCCCGUAGUCCCUGUCUCUUAUAC